GCCAGUGUGGUGCAGUGGUUUGAGUGCUGGACUGCAAUUUUGGAGACCAGGGUUCGAUUCCCAGCUCGGCCA
rnacentral:tRNA from 1 species